rnacentral:rRNA from 1 species
AUUGAACGCUGGCGGCAUGCUUUACACAUGCAAGUCGAACGGUAACAGGCCUUCGGGUGCUGACGAGUGGCGAACGGGUGAGUAAUGCAUCGGAACGUACCCAGAGGUGGGGGAUAACGCAGCGAAAGCUGUGCUAAUACCGCAUGUGUUCUGAGGAUGAAAGCGGGGGACCGAGCAGCAAUGUUUGGCCUCGCGCCUUUGGAGCGGCCGAUGUCGGAUUAGCUAGUUGGUGGGGUAAAGGCCUACCAAGGCGACGAUCCGUAGCUGGUCUGAGAGGACGAACAGCCACACUGGGACUGGGACACGGCCCAGACUCCUACGGGAGGCAGCAGUGGGGAAUUUUGGACAAUGGGCGCAAGCCUGAUCCAGCAAUGCCGCGUGCGGGAAGAAGGCCUUCGGGUUGUAAACCGCUUUUGGCAGGAACGAAACGGUGUCCGCUAAUACCGGGCGCUAAUGACGGUACCUGCAGAAUAAGCACCGGCUAACUACGUG